GACGAACGCUGGCGGCGUGCCUAAUACAUGCAAGUCGAACGCAGUGGGGACGGGUGAGUAACACGUGGGUAACCUCGCAUCAGAGGGGAUAACACUUGGAAACAGGUGCUAAACCGAUACUGAUGGAUGGACCCGGGGGGCAUUAGCUAGUUGGUGGGGUAACGGCUCACCAAGGCCACGAUGCAUAGCCGACCUGAGAGGGUGAGCGGCCACACUGGGACUGAGACACGGCCCAGACUCCUACGGGAGGCAGCAGUAGGGAAUCUUCGGCAAUGGACGAAAGUCUGACCGAGCAACGCCGCGUGAGUGAAGAAGGUUUUCGGAUCGUAAAACACUUUUGUUAGGGAAGCGGUAUUUAACCAGAAAGCCACGGCUAACUACGUGCCAGCCGCCGCGGUAAUAC
rnacentral:rRNA from 1 species